UGGGGAAUAUUGGACAAUGGGCGAAAGCCUGAUCCAGCCAUGCCGCGUGUGUGAAGAAGGUCUUCGGAUUGUAAAGCACUUUAAGUUGGGAGGAAGGGCAGUAAGCGAAUACCUUGCUGUUUUGACGUUACCGACAGAAUAAGCACCGGCUAACUCUGUGCCAGCAGCCGCGGUAAUACAGAGGGUGCAAGCGUUAAUCGGAAUUACUGGGCGUAAAGCGCGCGUAGGUGGUUCGUUAAGUUGAAUGUGAAAGCCCCGGGCUCAACCUGGGAACUGCAUCCAAAACUGGCGAGCUAGAGUAGGGCAGAGGGUGGUGAAAUUUCCUGUGUAGCGGUGAAAUGCGUAGAUAUAGGAAGGAACACCAGUGGCGAAGGCGACCACCUGGGCUCAUACUGACACUGAGGUGCGAAAGCGUGGGGAGCAAACAGG
rnacentral:rRNA from 1 species